rnacentral:rRNA from 1 species
CCUACGGGUGGCAGCAGUGGGGAAUAUUGCACAAUGGGGGGAACCCUGAUGCAGCGACGCCGCGUGAGUGAAGAAGUAUUUCGGUAUGUAAAGCUCUAUCAGCAGGGAAGAAAAUGACGGUACCUGACUAAGAAGCCCCGGCUAACUACGCGCCAUCAGCCGCGGUAAUACGUUGGGGGCAAGCGUUAUCCGGAUUUGAUGGGUGUAAAGGGAGCGCAGACGGUUGUGCAAGUCUGGAGUGAAAGGCGGGGGCCAAACCCCCGGACUGCUCUGGCAACUGUAAAGCUGGAGUGCAGGAGGGGUGAGCGGAAUUCCUGGUGUAGCGGUGGAAUGCGUAGAUAUUAGGAAGAACACCAGUGGCGAAGGCGGCUUACUGGACUGCAACUGACGUUGAGGAUCGAAAGCAUGGGGAGCAAACAGGAUUAGAUACCCGAGUAGUC